UGCCAGCCGCCGCGGUAAUACGGAGGGGGCAAGCGUUGUUCGGAAUUACUGGGCGUAAAGGGCGUGUAGGCGGCGGUUUUAGUCAGGCGUGAAAGCCCGAGGCUCAACCUCGGAAUAGCGCUUGAUACUGAACUGCUUGAGACCGGAAGAGGGUAGUGGAAUUCCCAGUGUAGAGGUGAAAUUCGUAAAUAUUAGGAGGACCUCCAGAGGCGAAGGCGACUACCUGGAUCAAUGCAGACACUGAGGUACGAAAGCGUGGGGAGCAAACAGGAUUAGAUA
rnacentral:rRNA from 1 species